CCUACGGGGGGCUGCAGUGGGGAAUAUUGCACAAUGGGGGAAACCCUGAUGCAGCAACGCCGCGUGAGCGAUGAAGGCUUUCGGGUCGUAAAGCUCUGUCCUAAGGGAAGAAUACUGACGGUACCUUAGGAGGAAGCCCCGGCUAACUACGUGCCAGCCGACGCGGUAAAACGUAUGGGGCUAGCGUUAUCCGGAAUUACUGGGCGUAAUGGGUGCGUAGGCGGCCCUUCAAGUCAGCGGUGAAAGGAUACGGCUCAACCGUAGUAAGCCUUUGAAACUGUAGGGCCUGAGUGCAGGAGAGGAGAGUGGAAUUCCCCGUGUAGCGGUGAAAUGCGUAGAUAUUGGGAGGAACACCAGACGCGAAGGCGGCUCUCUGGACUGUAACUGACGAUGAGGAACGAAAGCGUGGGGAGCGAACAGGAUUAGAUACCCUGGUAGUC
rnacentral:rRNA from 1 species